rnacentral:rRNA from 1 species
UUAAAUUGAAGAGUUUGAUCAUGGCUCAGAUUGAACGCUGGCGGCAGGCCUAACACAUGCAAGUCGAACGGUAACAGGAAGCAGCUUGCUGCUUUGCUGACGAGUGGCGGACGGGUGAGUAAUGUCUGGGAAACUGCCUGAUGGAGGGGGAUAACUACUGGAAACGGUGGCUAAUACCGCAUAACGUCGCAAGACCAAAGAGGGGGACCUUCGGGCCUCUUGCCAUCAGAUGUGCCCAGAUGGGAUUAGCUAGUAGGUGGGGUAACGGCUCACCUAGGCGACGAUCCCUAGCUGGUCUGAGAGGAUGACCAGCCACACUGGAACUGAGACACGGUCCAGACUCCUACGGGAGGCAGCAGUGGGGAAUAUUGCACAAUGGGCGCAAGCCUGAUGCAGCCAUGCCGCGUGUAUGAAGAAGGCCUUCGGGUUGUAAAGUACUUUCAGCGGGGAGGAAGGUGUUGUGGUUAAUAACCGCAGCAAUUGACGUUACCCGCAGAAGAAGCACCGGCUAACUCCGUGCCAGCAGCCGCGGUAAUACGGAGGGUGCAAGCGUUAAUCGGAAUUACUGGGCGUAAAGCGCACGCAGGCGGUUUGUCAAGUCGGAUGUGAAAUCCCCGGGCUCAACCUGGGAACUGCAUUUGAAACUGGCAAGCUUGAGUCUCGUAGAGGGGGGUAGAAUUC